rnacentral:rRNA from 1 species
GUAGGGAAUCUUCCACAAUGGACGAAAGUCUGAUGGAGCAACGCCGCGUGAGUGAAGAAGGUCUUCGGAUCGUAAAACUCUGUUGUUAGAGAAGAACGUGCAUGAUAGUAACUGAUCAUGUAAUGACGGUAUCUAACCAGAAAGCCACGGCUAACUACGUGCCAGCAGCCGCGGUAAUACGUAGGUGGCAAGCGUUGUCCGGAUUUAUUGGGCGUAAAGGGCACGCAGGCGGUUUUUUAAGUCUGAUGUGAAAGCCUUCGGCUUAACCGAAGAAUAGCAUUGGAAACUGGAAGCCGUGAGUGCAGAAGAGGAGAGUGGAAUUCCAUGUGUAGCGGUGAAAUGCGUAGAUAUAUGGAGGAACACCAGUGGCGAAAGCGGCUCUCUGGUCUGUAACUGACGCUGAGGUUCGAAAGCGUAGGUAGCAAACAGGAUUAGAUACCCGAGUAGUCC